UCAAUUAUGAAAAAAAUUAUAUAUUUUUUUAAAUAUAAGAAAGUACCAUUAGAAAAGUGUUAAAACCCAUUAUAUCAAGUUGAAAAAUAAACAAACUAAAACAUACAACCUAUAAAAAAUCUAACCAAGACCAAGCCCAACCCUCCUUAAUAAAAGGCUCAAAGCCCAAACAAACAAGUCUUAACAGAGCUAACCCUAAGAAGCAAGUUAAUCCGAAAAGGAUUAAGGAUCCCACAAGCCCACAUAUUCAGCGCCGCUCGAGAAAGUUCGUCAACGCUCCAAGAGCCUAUAGAAACCAUUAUCGAUGACCAAAAACUAUUCUCCAAUAACCUCAAACCACCAAAAGAAGCAACUUUAAGAGAACCAGAGGAAUAGCAACCAAACACACAUGGCACUGAUGAUGGCAAGAUAAUAUCAAAAGCAUCAACAACAGCACAACACAGGAUCUCGAUCUUAGCACCUUAAUGAACUUCGACAAGGACAAGAUAGAAGCAGAGUUUAGAGAUUGGAGCAACCCACCAGAGGGGCACUGUGAA
rnacentral:lncRNA from 1 species